rnacentral:rRNA from 1 species
UAGCAUGCAGUCGAGCGGCAAGGGCCUUCGGGCCCCUAGAGCGGCGGACGGGUGAGUAACACGUGGACAAUCUGCCCCCCGGACCGGGAUAGCCCAGGGAAACCUGGAUUAAUACCGGAUGAGAGCGUCGGCGCACAAGCGUCGGCGGGGAAAGGCGCUGCGGCGCCGCCGGGGGAUGAGUCCGCGGCCCAUUAGCUGGAUGGCGGGGUAAAGGCCCACCAUGGCGACGAUGGGUAGCCGGCCUGAGAGGGUGAUCGGCCACAUUGGAACUGAGACACGGUCCAGACUCCUACGGGAGGCAGCAGCUAAGAAUCUUCCGCAAUGGGCGAAAGCCUGACGGAGCGACGCCGCGUGAACGAUGAAGGCCGUGAGGUUGUAAAGUUCUUUUCGGGAGGGAGAACAACCGUGGCAGGGAAUGGCCGCGGGAUGACGUGAAUCCCGGAAUAAGCCCCGGCUAACUACGUGCCAGCAGCCGCGGUAACACGUAGGGGGCGAGCGUUGUUCGGAAUCAUUGGGCGUAAAGGGCGUGCAGGCGGCCCUGCAAGUCCGGCGUGAAAGACCCCGGCCCAACUGGGGGGACGCGCUGGAAACUGCAGGGCUUGAAUACAGGAGGGGAUGCCGGAAUUCCAGGUGUAGGGGUGAAAUCUGUAGAUAUCUGGAAGAACACCAAUGGCGAAGGCAGGCAUCUGGCCAUGUAUUGACGCUGAGACGCGAAGGUGCGGGGAGCAAACAGGUUUAGAUACCCUGGUAGUCCGCACAGUAAACGAUGUGCACCAGGUG